CUGCAGCCAAUUAAGCCGACUGUGCCCCUUUAACUCAUGGGGGCCCGGUGUGCAGUGGCUGCAAACAGCAGCCUCCUGGGUAGUGUAUACAGCCUGUUGUUUGUACGGGUUGAUCUAAGGGACCUUGGAGACAGCC
ensembl:snoRNA SNORA70 Small nucleolar RNA SNORA70